AAAACCUAAAUCGCAGAAUCCUCUAGCCUCAUCGUGCAUGGGAACGGUCAUCUCGUGAACGGAACCUGACAUGUCACGUUCCGGCUCGCGCAAAUUACAAGCCGGCGUUCAUACGUGCAUUGACAGCUA